rnacentral:lncRNA from 1 species
AAAUCCGGUUUGGUUUGCAGAAAACCAGGUGAAAUUUUAUCAGAAGAAGAUUCGAGAUGAUGACGAUGUUUAGCAUAUGUUUGUCAUUCACGAACAAUCCGGUUACAAUGAUAUAGAGUUGUAUAUAUUACCACAUCAACAACAGGUGUCUCAUUUUAUUGAUCAGUCACAAGUGUUUUGUGAGACUGAUGACGAACAACCUGAGGUGAAUGUUCCAGAUGACGACGAAGAAGAAGCCGGGAUCAUGGUUGAUUCAAUGGUGAACGCUGAUGAG